AUUGAACGCUGGCGGCAGGCUUAACACAUGCAAGUCGAGCGGAGAUGAGGUGCUUGCACCUUAUCUUAGCGGCGGACGGGUGAGUAAUGCUUAGGAAUCUGCCUAUUAGUGGGGGACAACAUUCCGAAAGGAAUGCUAAUACCGCAUACGUCCUACGGGAGAAAGCAGGGGAUCUUCAGACCUUGCGCUAAUAGAUGAGCCUAAGUCGGAUUAGCUAGUUGGUGGGGUAAGGGCCUACCAAGGCGACGAUCUGUAGCGGGUCUGAGAGGAUGAUCCGCCACACUGGGACUGAGACACGGCCCAGACUCCUACGGGAGGCAGCAGUGGGGAAUAUUGGACAAUGGGGGGAACCCUGAUCCAGCCAUGCCGCGUGUGUGAAGAAGGCCUUAUGGUUGUAAAGCACUUUAAGCGAGGAGGAGGCUACUGAGACUAAUACUCUUGGAUAGUGGACGUUACUCGCAGAAUAAGCACCGGCUAACUCUGUGCCAGCCGCCGCGGUAAAAC
rnacentral:rRNA from 1 species